GGAGUCUAAUUCACUCUGGGGCUUCAACUCCGAUGAGGCCCCGAAAUGGUGGGAUGGAAUCUCAUUCUGGUGAGGGUCAUCAAGGAUCAUGGAAUCCUUAUUGCAAGGUGUUUGAGAAGAAGGUUGAAGAUCAUGCAAGGAAGUUGAGCCCUCUUGAAAGCUGAGCAUUGGCUUGGGAUGAAGCAAAACGUGCAAAGUAUAUGCCCAGGUUCAAUCGUGAAGAGGUGAGGAUUCAAUCAUAUUAUAUGUACGGUGCCAAACUGCCAUUCAACACCACUACCAUUCAAAAAAGCGGUGAA